rnacentral:rRNA from 1 species
GGGGGGUGCAAGCGUUACUCGGAAUCACUGGGCGUAAAGAGCAUGUAGGCGGAUUAAUAAGUUUGAAGUGAAAUCCUAUAGCUUAACUAUAGAACUGCUUUGAAAACUGUUAAUCUAGAAUGUGGGAGAGGUAGAUGGAAUUUCUGGUGUAGGGGUAAAAUCCGUAGAGAUCAGAAGGAAUACCGAUUGCGAAGGCGAUCUACUGGAACAUUAUUGACGCUGAGAUGCGAAAGCGUGGGGAGCAAAC